CUAUUUCUAAAAUUUAAUGGACCAUUUGAAUUGUCUACCCGUACAUUAGUAAAGCGUGAACUUUCAAGCAUGGAACUUUCAGGGCUGCUGAGAACUGUCUGGAACUCUCGAGUCCCUUUUUCUAAAAGUUAUUUUUGUAAAUUGCUGUAACAGUGGCUCAUCAGUCACUCUGAAAGGAAGUGAUCCUUGAUUAACAGUUGGCUGACACCAAGCUCCACAGAUGUGUAGCAACAGUACAGGUGCGACUUACAAAACAAGACAGAGCUUUACUCCUCCUUGGUACAAGGAAGGCUGGCAUGAUCAUCCACUUCACAUUAGAGGGUGUCUUAUCCACCAGUGUGCUGACACCAAGCAGGAAUUUCCAAGUAGAGAGCAGACUCCCUGUAGUCACAUGUCCCUGGUGAAAAUUGCUUCAUCAUUCUUCAGAAGGAAAAAAAUAAAAAGAAGAAGCAGAUUCUCUUCAGAAUCCUCUAUUCUCAGAAUGACUAGACAGAACUUUAUGCCAAAAUUCUUGCUCAUCUUCCUAUCUUCUAGUUCCAUAAAUAAAAAUAAAAUGUUAAUAAAUGGA
rnacentral:lncRNA from 1 species